UUCGGACCGCCGCCUUUCCGAAGGGA
rnacentral:misc_RNA from 1 species